CAAAGUGUAGCUUAAUUUAAAGCAUCUAGUUUACACCUAGAAGAUUUCACUUAGACUGACCACUUUGA
rnacentral:tRNA from 1 species